rnacentral:tRNA from 1 species
ACCUCGGUGGUGUAGUGGUCAAGACGCUCGCCUGGUAAACAGAAGGGCGUGGGUUCGAUCCCCAGCCGAGGCA